GAUGAACGCUGGCGGCGUGCCUAAUACAUGCAAGUCGAGCGAACAGACGAGGAGCUUGCUCCUUUGACGUUAGCGGCGGACGGGUGAGUAACACGUAGGUAACCUACCUAUAAGACUGGGAUAACUUCGGGAAACCGGAGCUAAUACCGGAUAAUAUUUCGAACCGCAUGGUUCGAUAGUGAAAGAUGGCUUUGCUAUCACUUAUAGAUGGACCUGCGCCGUAUUAGCUAGUUGGUAAGGUAACGGCUUACCAAGGCAACGAUACGUAGCCGACCUGAGAGGGUGAUCGGCCACACUGGAACUGAGACACGGUCCAGACUCCUACGGGAGGCAGCAGUAGGGAAUCUUCCGCAAUGGGCGAAAGCCUGACGGAGCAACGCCGCGUGAGUGAUGAAGGUCUUCGGAUCGUAAAACUCUGUUAUUAGGGGAGAACAAACGUGUAAGUAACUGUGCACGUCUUGACGGUACCUAAUCAGAAAGCCACGGCUAACUACGUG
rnacentral:rRNA from 1 species